UACGUAGGUGGCAAGCGUUGUUCGGAUUUAUUGGGCUUAAAGGGUGCGUAGGCGGUUUUAUAAGUCAGUGGUGAAAUCCAACAGCUUAACUGUUGAGGUGCCAUUGAUACUGUAAGACUUGAGUACAGACGAGGUAGGCGGAAUUGACGGUGUAGCGGUGAAAUGCGUAGAUAUCGUCAAGAACAACGAUAGCGAAGGCAGCUUACUAGACUGUAACUGACGCUGAGGCACGAAAGUGUGGGGAUCAAACAGG
rnacentral:rRNA from 1 species